AGGGGAAGUGGCAGAUGAGGGGAACGGAAGAAACAGUGAGCCGACUGCUGAUUCUUUUCAGAAGAGAAGCAUGGUCAGCCUCCAUGGGCUAAAACCAGCAAGCUAAAACAAGAAACUCUGGGAAGCAGUGCUGCGGUUUCUUUUGAAAUUAAAGCGUCAACCCUUACCAAGGCAGCAGAUUUCAGGAGGGAAUGGAGGCACUUGCUGACCCCUUCUUCCCCAUCUGGCACAGCCCUGCGAAGGUAAGUGACCUGCUCUCUUUGCAAAGCCUUCCCAGAUGUGACUCCUGCCCCUCUCAUUUUUCAGUAAGGUAGAUGCAGGAUUUGAGGAGCCAGCCAGUCACAGGCCUUGUCUGCAUGGGAAAGCUUAUACCAUGUACACUGGGGUAACUCUCUCAGCUUGCGCGGGGAGCAGCGCAGCCUUAAUCUGAUAGAGGUGCCUGUUUUUCAGCAUAACUGAGCUCAUUUGCAAUCAGCUCAGCUGAGAAGAACCGUUCUCAAACUUCUCAAAUACCUGUUCCUGACAAGCAAAGCAACAUUUUGGGAAU